rnacentral:rRNA from 1 species
UACGUAGGGUGCAAGCGUUGUCCGGAAUUAUUGGGCGUAAAGAGCUCGUAGGCGGUUUGUCGCGUCUGCUGUGAAAACUCGGGGCUUAACUCCGGGCCUGCAGUGGGUACGGGCAGACUAGAGUGCGGUAGGGGAGACUGGAAUUCCUGGUGUAGCGGUGAAAUGCGCAGAUAUCAGGAAGAACACCAACGGCGAAGGCAGCUCGCUGGGACGGUACUGACGCUGAGACGCGAAAGCGUGGGGAGCGAACAGG